UGCAGGACGGGCCCAGCGCCUGGCUUCCAGGCCUGACUCUCAGUCCAGCUCCAGCCAAGGUGGACUGUCCGGCUCUAAACUUCCAAGGUGCUCUUAUCCGAGGAGCAACACCGGACACCGUCUUUGCCAUUACUUGAUACAAAUGCUAGAGUGACUUCUUCAGCUGAAAGGAAAGGAUUCUUGAUGGACCCUCAGGGUUUUAAAAGAAGAGAUGAACAAACAUCAGAAAUGACGAGGAGCCCGAAGCUGGGGAUUCCAAGUAAAAUGGUGAGAAGUGGCUGAGAAAGGACUGGACACUGGUGGCUGCUUCACAGCGGUGCUCCUCCACCAGCCUGAGGAUGACAAUGAAGAACAAAAGAAGGGGAAGAGGAAGAGGCUGGAGUCCAAGGAGAAGCGGAGGAGGCCUGGCUUCUCCCAGUGUCUCUCACGUUCCUCAGGAAGCUGCCCUCCUUCACGCCACCAGCCCCAAAUCCCUAGACUGUGGUCAGCCUACCUCAGCACUCCACAGUGUGCGUGCAUGUGUGCUUUGAAUGCGUGCUUUGAGUGCGCGCGUGCAUGCUGUGUGUGCGCGUGUGUGCCUGCUUGCGAGCAUGUAGCUAAAGAAUGAAACCAGAGCCUUGGCCAGUCUGGGUGAGAGCUGCAUCCCUGAGCUGUAUCCCACCCACCUGGUACCUGUUUAACACGUGUCGGAUUCGUGGUCACCGUUACC